GAUGAAGAACGCAGUGAAAUGCGAUACGUAAUGUGAAUUGCAGAAUUCAGUGAAUCAUCGAGUCUUUGAACGCACAUUGCGCCCCCUGGUAUUCCGGGGGGCAUGCCUGUUCGAGCGUCAUUUCACCACUCAAGCCUCGCUUGGUAUUGGGCAAUGCGGUCCGCCGCCUGCCUCAAAUCGACCGGCUGGGUCUUCUGUCCCCUAAGCGUUGUGGAAACUAUUCGCUAAAGGGUGUUCGGGAGGCUACGCCGUAAAACAACCCCAUUUCUAAGGUUGACCUCGGAUCAGGUAGGGAUACCCGCUGAACUUAAGCAUAUCAAUAAGCGGAGGA
rnacentral:misc_RNA from 1 species